AAUUGACGGGGACCCGCACAAGCGGUUGGAUGAUGUGGAUUAAUUCGAUGCAACGCGAAGAACCUUACCUACCCUUGACAUGUCCGGAACUUGCCAGAGAUGGCUUGGUGCCCGAAAGGGAAUCGGAACACAGGUGCUGCAUGGCUGUCGUCAGCUCGUGUCGUGAGAUGUUGGGUUAAGUCCCGCAACGAGCGCAACCCUUAUCAUUAGUUGCUACGCAAGGGCACUCUAAUGAGACUGCCGGUGACAAACCGGAGGAAGGUGGGGAUGACGUCAAGUCCUCAUGGCCCUUAUGGGUAGGGCUUCACACGUCAUACAAUGGUCGGUACAGAGGGUUGCCAAGCCGCGAGGCGGAGCCAAUCCCACAAAGCCGAUCGUAGUCCGGAUUGUUCUCUGCAACUCGAGAGCAUGAAGUCGGAAUCGCUAGUAAUCGCAGGUCAGCAUACUGCGGUGAAUACGUUCCCGGGUCUU
rnacentral:rRNA from 1 species